GUGAACGCUGGCGGUAGGCCUAACACAUGCAAGUCGAACGGCAGCACAGUAAGAGCUUGCUCUUACGGGUGGCGAGUGGCGGACGGGUGAGGAAUACAUCGGAAUCUACUUUUUCGUGGGGGAUAACGUAGGGAAACUUACGCUAAUACCACAUACGACCUACGGGUGAAAGCAGGGGAUCUUCGGACCUUGCGCGAUUGAAUGAGCCGAUGUCGGAUUAGCUAGUUGGCGGGGUAAAGGCCCACCAAGGCGACGAUCCGUAGCUGGUCUGAGAGGAUGAUCAGCCACACUGGAACUGAGACACGGUCCAGACUCCCACGGGAGGCAGCAGUGGGGAAUAUUGGACAAUGGGCGCAAGCCUGAUCCAGCCAUACCGCGUGGGUGAAGAAGGCCUUCGGGUUGUAAAGCCCUUUUGUUGGGAAAGAAAAGCAGCAGGUUAAUACCCCGCUGUUCUGACGGUACCCAAAGAAUAAGCACCGGCUAACUUCGUG
rnacentral:rRNA from 1 species